AACUGAAAAAAUAGCUCCAUUACUUCGUUGGCGCGCGGAAAUUCAAUGCAAUGUAGGAGUACUUCUAUCAAUUAGGGAAAAAAUUAAACGGGACUUUCCCUCGCAGUCGCCGAAAAAACCGAGAGAGAGAGAGAGAGAGAGAGAGAGAGAGAGAGAAUUCUCACCGAUUUAAUUUUCUCAUGAAAACUGGUUCGGAAUCGAACAAAACGGAUUGAUUUCUGAAAUAAUAGCGGUGACGAACUUCGGCUCGCAUUAUUGGCGGAUCGGCGGGGUCACAUGAUAAGAUGUUGUGCCAUCAACUAAGGAAGAAUAACUGGCUGCUUUUGAAGAAGUAAAGACGAUCCUAGAAGAGAGAAAGAAGCAAAGAGGCUUUAGGGGAUACAAUGGAUGCUCAAGGAAAUGAUGGUGCAAAGUCUGUUCUCAUUCAGGUGCAAAGGGGCAUACCCCAGAAACAAACAAACCUCACACACCAUCAGGAUGGUUGUGUUCCGCAAGGGUCAGCCCACCACACACUGAAAAAGGCUAGCCAAAAAUUAGGGAGGUGGAGAACCUUAUCCUCUUUUUGUCCCAAAGGGAUCUCAACUGAUGUUGAAUGACAGCUAAGUUUCACUUGGGAAAGAAUGCUACUACGUUAUGUUUGAACAAGGAAAAUACUGAAUCUUCUUAUGUACCAUGAUACCAUCACCUAAAGAGAGAUUAAUAAGCAGCUGUUGAAGAAGAAAAGGGGAUCCUACAAGAGAGAGAAGCAGAAGAUUUGGGGGACACAAUGGAUGCAUAAUAAAAUGGUGGCGCAAAGGCUGUUCUUAUGCAGGUACUUUUGGAGCGUUCUAGUUUCCCUCCCUCUUCUUAACUUGUAUAGUGUGACUAGUCUUGCCUAUUGUGGUUCUCAACCCAUGUUAAGAAUUAGAUUACCCCAUCAAGAUGGUUGGCAAACCUGAUAGGUGUUGUGGUUGUUUUGCAAGGGUCAGCCUCAGCCAACCACACACUCGAAAGGAUUAACAUUUAGGGAGGUGGAGAACCUUAUCCUAUAUAUCUCUCACCCAAAGGGCUCACAACUAAUGUUGAAUGACAGCUAAGUGUCAAUUGGUAACCAUAUUUUCUUUUCAAACUAGUGAAAUCAUAUCUGCCGCCAGCUAAGUGUCACCUGGUAACCAUAUUUUCUUUUCAAACUACUGAAAUCAUAUCUGCCCCUACGACGGCUCACCGAGCGCUAUAAUGGAAGUACAACCGAAAUUUAUCAUUCGGCUGUAGCAUACAAUCUGCCAAUGCUAGCAGAAAAUGUGAAAAUACAAUUUAGUGGUAAAUGAAAGUCAAUCAAAUGGGAAUAAAAAGAAAACGAGGAUACUGCAGAAAUUUUGGUAGGAAAAAACGAUUGUCACAUAUAAGAUACCUGAUCAUACUACUUAAGUACUUAUUGAUUGAAAAUGCGCUAGUUAGAUGUCACAAAUUGUAUUUGUUUAUGCUUGCUUUAUGUUAUUGUUAGAUUUACAUGGUGAUGUUGUCGUUCUUCACUUUCUAUCCUGAUUAAUACCAUAUUUUCAUCCUUUUAUGUGUUUGAAAGUAUUCAUUCUUCCAACUUCUUCAGCAUAUAAGCAUGUCUGUGAUUCAUGUAUAAACUUCAAGUCAAGCCAGGUUAAGUCGAUAGAUCAUUGGCAUGCGAUCACUCUUUUGCUCCCAAUUGUUUAGUAACUAAAAUUAGUUUGGUUACAACUCUUUGAGUGGUGAGUCUGGUGACAUUGAGAGCAUUAAAA